AUUUGCUCUCCCAGUUAUUUUUUCUUUAUCACUUUCUGUGAUGUCACUUCUCUCUUCGGCGUUUGCAGAGAUUACCUUAAAAUAUUGCCAUGGCAACUGUGGCUCCUGUAUGGAGUAGCUGUUGAUGAUGUAAAGUAGUUCCCGUGGAAAAAUAAUCUUGCAAAUCCCCAAAACAAGAGCAGAAAGGAAGGCAGAUGCAGUUGUAGGAAGAGGAGCGUAGAAGAAUCUGCACCGUGAUUGGCAACUGUAUAGAUCGCGAGCGCUGUGUUCUAGUUGCAGUUCGUCUCCGCCUGCCACCCAAUUCGACGGCUGUCACCCGGCAGUGGCACAAAUCCCACAGGCCAUUAUGAGGCUGGUUUAAUCCCCACAACAGCAGCAUCAGAAGCCUUUCAAGAAGGGUUUCGGAGCAUGAUACCCUGUCUGUCACAUGCAUCCGCUGGCUUCAGGCAGGGCUACGGUGCAUUGUUGUCAUCCCACUCCAUCACUUAUGUCUCGUCUUAUCCCCGAGCCUCUAAGACAAAUGUACUGGAUGUCCUCCUGCUGAAGAUCAAUCACAUGUUGCGUGUAAUCUUCUGCCGGGCUUUGUCUCUCUGCUAUUGAUGCUCAGAUUUGGCCUUGGCUGUUGCACACAAUAAAUUGUGUUUUUAUUGAUGUCUUG